GCAGAACGCGAAGAACCUUACCAGGACUUGACAUGGAGGGGACCGGACGAGAGAUCGUUCUUCUUCCGCAAGGAAGCCCCUCACACAGGUGCUGCAUGGCUGUCGUCAGCUCGUGUCGUGAGAUGUUGGGUUAAGUCCCGCAACGAGCGCAACCCUCGUUUUUAGUUGCCAUCAUUCAGUUGGGCACUCUAAAGAGACUGCCGCGAAUAACGCGGAGGAAGGUGGGGACGACGUCAAGUCAUCAUGGCCCUUGCGUCCUGGGCUACACACGUGCUACAAUGGGCGUCACAGAGGGUCGCAAGAGCGCAAGCUGGAGCCAAUCCCCAAAAACGUCCUCAGUUCAGAUCGAGGUCUGCAACCCGACCUCGUGAAGGUGGAAUCGCUAGUAAUCGCGGAUCAGAACGCCGCGGUGAAUACGUUCCCGGGUCUUGUACACACCG
rnacentral:rRNA from 1 species